AUAUCAGUCAUGCAUAGCAUAUCAAUAAGCGGAGGAAAAGAAACUAACAAGGAUUCCCUUAGUAACGGCGAGUGAAGCGGGAAGAGCUCAAAUUUGAAAUCUUCAAGGUUCUACCUUGACGAAUUGUAGUUUAUAGAAGUGUUUUCUGUUAGUGGAGUGGCAAAAGUUCUUUGGAAUAGGACAUCAUAGAGGGUGAGAAUCCCGUAUUUGGUCAUUCCUCCUAGCGUUGUGAUACACUUUCAAAGAGUCGGAUUGUUUGGGAAUGCAGUCCAAAAUGGGUGGUAAAUUUCAUCUAAAGCUAAAUAUUGGCGAGAGACCGAUAUCGAACAAGUACCGUGAGGGAAAGAUGAAAAGAACUUUGAAAAGAGAGUUAAACAGUACGUGAAAUUGUCAAAAGGGAAGCGUUUGACACCAGUGUUGUUUUUCCGAAAAUCAAUUACGAAUGUUUUGUUUUUGAGGAGUUAUGACUUCAUCGGCUUGCUCCUUUCUUUAUGAAACUUUCUUAAUGCACUUUUCGGUUAACAAGUCAACAUCAAUUUCUUUUGUUGUAAAAGGGUAUGAGGAAGGUGGCUUUCUUUUCGGAGAAAGUGUUUAUAGCCUUGUGCCUCUGCAAUCGGAGAGAUUGAGGUCUGCAGCGUAGAUCCUUCGGGGUUAGAUACGUUUGUGCUAAGUUAUAGCUUUUCAUAGACAACUUGUUGACUAUGUUUAGUCUUGUAGCUUACUCGCUGACGCUAUUUUACCUACGCUUAGGAUGUUGAUCUCUAUCACACACAG
rnacentral:rRNA from 1 species